AUACGGAGGGUGCAAGCGUUACUCGGAAUCACUGGGCGUAAAGCGCGCGCAGGCGGCUUGAUAAGUUGGAUGUGAAAGCCUACGGCUCAACCGUAGAACUGCAUCCAAAACUGUCAGGCUAGAGUGUGGGAGAGGAAGAUGGAAUUAGUUGUGUAGGGGUAAAAUCCGUAGAGAUAACUAGGAAUACCAAAAGCGAAGGCAAUCUUCUGGAACACUACUGACGCUGAGGCGUGAAAGCGUGGGGAGCAAACAGGAUUAGAAACCCCAGUAGUCC
rnacentral:rRNA from 1 species